AGUGAACGCUGGCGGUAGGCCUAACACAUGCAAGUCGAACGGCAGCACAGUAAGAGCUUGCUCUUACGGGUGGCGAGUGGCGGACGGGUGAGGAAUACAUCGGAAUCUACUUUUUCGUGGGGGAUAACGUAGGGAAACUUACGCUAAUACCGCAUACGACCUACGGGUGAAAGCAGGGGAUCUUCGGACCUUGCGCGAUUGAAUGAGCCGAUGUCGGAUUAGCUAGUUGGCGGGGUAAAGGCCCACCAAGGCGACGAUCCGUAGCUGGUCUGAGAGGAUGAUCAGCCACACUGGAACUGAGACACGGUCCAGACUCCUACGGGAGGCAGCAGUGGGGAAUAUUGAACAAUGGGCGCAAGCCUGAUUCAGCCAUACCGCGUGGGUGAAGAAGGCCUUCGGGUUGUAAAGCCCUUUUGUUGGGAAAGAAAAGCAGCAGGUUAAUACCCCGCUGUUCUGACGGUACCCAAAGAAUAAGCACCGGCUAACUUCGUG
rnacentral:rRNA from 1 species